GUGCUUUAGAAGCACGUAUAUUAAAAGUGGAAAGUUACAGAGAAGAUUGACAGGACCUCUGUACAAGUGGGAUACACUCAUUAUGAAGCAUCCUAUAUUUUA